rnacentral:tRNA from 1 species
GAGAAUGUGGCUCAGUGGUAGAGUGUUUGCCUAGCAUGUAGGAAGCCCUGGGUUCAAUUCCUCAGUAUCA